rnacentral:ncRNA from 1 species
GGUCGGGAGGGCGACGAAUAAAAUACCCGCAAGGGGAAUAAGUCCGCGGUCGUUACAGCCGUUCUCAACCUCCUGACCACCCACGU